GGGCGGAUGUAGCCAAGUGGAUUAAGGCGGUGGAUUGUGAAUCCACCAUGCGCG
rnacentral:tRNA from 1 species